CACACUGCUUCCUGUUCUUCAAACCCAGAUUCCCUUGAAUGAAAUAUAGGAAAGAGUCCCAGGAAGGAUGCUUCCUGAACCCCGUUCUUCAAACCCAGACUCCCUUGAAAGGAAGAAAGAAAAGGAUCCCAGAAAUGGAGGGGGAAGCUUCUUCGAAAUCUCUGGUAGAGGAGUAUGAUAACCAUCUGGAGGAAAUGAACAAAGAACUGAGAUAUUGCCAGCUACAAAUGAGAGAAAUGAGAUUCAAACUUGAACAAGUCAUCAAGGAAAAUGAAAGAUUACAUGAGGAAUUGAAAGAGGCCAUUGAAAAGCAGCUGGAGUCUCUGCCAUCUGGUUCCACCUCAAAAGAUGGUGCAUUUCUGGAUGAAAAUCUAAUACGAAAUCUUCAAGAACAACUGCAACUAGCAAAUAAAGAAAAAGAACAUGUCCUAGAACUGUGGCAGACAGUAUCACAGGAAUUGGGGCGACUUCAGAAGAUAUACCAGGAACAUAUGACAGAAGCACAGAUUCACAUUGUUGAAAAGCAGACUCAAAAAGAUCAAUUGACAAGCUUUCAGCAGCUAACAAAACAACUGUAUUUAGCCAAUGAUAAAACAGAGUCAAUUAAUCAAGUAUUUCUGAAGACUGUAAUGGAACAGACUGUAGAGCUGGAACAAUUGCGCAAACAGCAGAGACAAUCCAAACUGGACUUGAGAACAGCUGUGUCAAAGGUUGAUGAAAUGCUCAGACUCACUGAGGAUCUUCGUUCCCAAGUAGCCAGAAAGGAAGAAGAGGUGUUAGCUGCUCAAGAGAGAGAGGAGGCAUCUGAUAAACGCUUACAGCAGUUGCAGUCUAGCAUAAAACAACUGGAGACAAAACUUUGUGUAGCUACCAAAGAUUCUGAACAGCUAAGGACCAAUAGAUCAACUUUAGAAAAGCAAAUCCAAGAGCUACAAAAAAGUUGUGUGGAAAUAGAAAAGGAGAAAUACGAUGCUGUGGAAAAGGUCCGUGAUAGCUUGCAACUCUUAGAAGAAGCUAAUCUGCAAAAGAGUCAGGCAAUGAUAGCUGAAAAACAGAAAGAAGAGGAAAUAAAAAACAUGAAGGAAGCAGUUUCUCAGCUGCUUCAGGAUGCUGCUUCAAGAACUAGGAAAGAAGUAGAAAAUGAAAGAAAAAGAUAUAACACGCAGAUUUCCCAGUUAUCAGAAGAACUUACGGCACUUCAGAUGGAAUGUGGGGAAAAGCAAAGCCAAAUUGAGCGGGCUGUUAGAGAAAGACGAGCAGUGGAAGAAGAACUAGCGAAGAUAUAUUGUGAAAGAAAAGGAAAUGAAGGUGAUUAUAGAAAACAAGAAGAACUUUACCAAAGAAGUCUGAUUGCUGAACGGGCAAAAGAUGAGCUUCAGCUGAGUUUGCAAACAGCACAAAACAAAAUCAAACAUUUGGAAAUGAACUAUGAGGAAGAGAUAAGCCGUUGUCAGGAAAUGAUCCAAAAGUUGCAAAGUAUUCUGGACUCUGAAAGACAGAACUGUGGCACUGUCAGUGAAGAGUGCUUAAAACUCCAGCAAGAGAAUGAACGAUUUCUAAAAGAAAUGGAGGAAUUGAGAAAAUUAGCCAUGGAGGCACAGCAAGCAGCCAAAUUAAAGAUAAGCACCAUGGAGAAUGAACAUUUAAUAAAAGAGCAUGGUUUUGAAGUGCAGCUGAAAGAAAUGGAAGAUGUGAACCAAAACUCCACUGCUGAACUGAGACGUCUGUUGAUAGCUCAACAGAAGGCAACGAAUCGGUGGAAGGAGGAAACAAAAAAAUUAACAGAAGUUACAGAAACCAGAAUAAAUAAUUUAAAAAGUGAGCUGAGUCGUCAAAAAAUUCACACCCAGGACUUACUUUGUCAGCUGGAAAGAGCAAAUGAGAAGAUUAUUGAGGAUGAAAAAAUAAUGAUGGAAUUUCAAGAAAAAGUCAACAGACUUCAAAGGCGAUUAAGCCAGGCAGAGGAGAGGGCAGCUAUAGCAUCUCAACAGCUUGGUGCAGUUAUCAUGCAGAAAAAAAAGACUGCCUCCUCAAUAGAGCUGGAAAAUAUUUAAAUGAAUGUUAUAUGCAUGAAUAUUUGUAACAUCACUACCAAGAAUGAAUGUAUUACAUUCAAUUGGACAUUCAUUGGAAACUAUUGAAAUUCAACUCUUCUGAGUGCACCAAUUAUAAUCAAAGGAUUUCUUGGGCAGUCUGCAUAAGGAAAAGGUGAAGCUUAACGAGAAAUACCAACUGUUUCCAUAUCAACAAAAUGAAUGCAAUAGCAGGUAAUGAUUACUGCUUUAUUUAUAAUUCUUUACUGGUUCUAAGUAUGGUGUGAAACUCAUAUAGUCAUACUCUACGUUUCUCUACUUUUGCAACCAGAAGAUGUGGGGGAAAGCACUAUUCAUUUUUCCUCUUUUUUAAGUUUUUGGUUCAGCAUUAUUCAAAAUAUCAGAAAGCUUAUUAACCUAAAUAUGGUGGGGAGCAAAACAGAUAAGGCAAUUCUUUCUGCACAAAUGCUAUCAUUCCUAAUAGUGCAAAUGUUAUCUGAUACUUCUUUCAAAAUUGGUUGUAACAUUGAAUAAUGUUCUCUUAGAAUCAUAUGUAUUUUAUACUUUCUAUGGCUUGAUGAACAACUCCCUACAGGGCAGGCUAACCAAUAUUUCAUCCAACUCUCACCUGAAAAACCUACUUAUUGAAAAGUGAAUUAAUCACAUCCCUCUUUUUCUAUGUUUAACAAGAACGUAUCUGCUUGUAAAGCAGCAGACCUGGCCAACAAACCUGAAAGAUAUAAGUAGUUUAAUCAGAAGCAAUGAAGCCUUAUAAAACUACCUCUCACAUAUCAAUCAUUUCCUAGCCUAAAGUGGUGUCAGUAUAUUAAUCACAUUUAGAACUGAAGCUCUAGUCUCAAACCUCCUUGUUUAUUCUAUUCCUCCAGGUCCAGACUAUGCACAGACUAGAAUGAGAAUUGGAAGAUGAUGGUGGAGAGACUAUUCGGUGUUUGAGAAUUUCCCUCACAAAGAAAGGCAUGAAAUAGCCUCCACUUAAACAGAUGUCUGUGCAUGCACCAAAACCCCAAGCUGUAAACAGCUACUGGAGUGGGUCUAUUACAGGUGCUUUAAAGCUCAGAUUCUCAACUGUUAAGAAGUCUGAACAACCUGCUGAGCUACACUCUUUCUUUCCCUCGCUUUAUCCUCACACAUAAACUUUAUACUAGGUCAUAUAAACUGGGUCUCCUUUCAGUUUUCUGGUCUGUACUAAUCAUAAUUUGACAUCUGAAUUCUCAGACCUAAAGCCAAAUCCGUUAAAACCAAUCAUUCACUUCAAAUUAUGAUUUGACUCUAGUUUGGAAAAUGUUGGUACUGAUACAAACACCGAAAAAAAAAGCUAAAGCAAAGGGUGAGUACUACAUCUGAUUUCACCAAUCCCAAAGCUUUGUUUGGUCAAGAGUGUUCUGAAGGAAAUGGUGAAUUUUGAUGGCUAGUUCUCAAAUGAUAUGCACAUUGCUCUUAAUAAUAUCUAUAAUUCUUACAUUCACACAUGACAUUUCUCCAACCCAGAAUGACUGCUUCCAUAUUAUAAAAAAAUUACUGUUUAGCCUCCCCCAAUAUAUUUGUGUUCUUGAUCAUUCAGUGACUUGCAUAGCAAGAUGGAACAGCAACAGUCCAGAUCUCAGCUGCAAUCCCUGGAAGACGCAUUAAAUUGCAACAUUUGUUAUUUAGAUAUAAAUCCACCUAUUGUUGGAGAAGGAACUACAACAAAACUAUAGUAAGUAACUGGAUGCUGAUGAAUUAUAGGAGGGCGGUCUAUUUUUUUUAAAAAAAGCUGUUGCUUAAACUUUCCUAUAACUAGGUUAUGUCUGCUUCUAUAUCCAAGUUGAGUCCCCAAAAGUUACAGCAGCCUAAAACUUAGGCUUUCACGUCUAUGAUGCACUCUCUUGGGUGCAAAAUAUAGACUCUUAAUUUUCUGUUCACAUUAUUGCUGAUGGCUUACUCUCUCAAGUUAUUGCAGAUUUUCUCUUUAAAAAAGAUGUACUUAGAACACGAGCUCCUUUUUGUCAAAUCUAAUCCAUAUCAUGAAAUCAUGUUGUUAAACUGGCUUGAAUGUAAAGCGCUUCUUACAUCUUAUUGCCUUUCCAUUUUAUUCAAAAAUAUACAUAUAUAUUUAUUACAUCCUUUUUUUGUACUUAAAUUAACCCUUGUGUCAGACACUUGCAUAUC